AUUUGGGGAUAAUAUUUUUACAAUAUGGAGGAUAGAACGUGUGUCAAUUCAACCAAGAAAAUUCAACCAACAUCUUUUCCGAUACAUUUUCCGAUUAAUAAGCAUCAGACAAUAUAUAAUAUCAUACGCUGGACACUUUUUCAAAUUUUCUCCCAUAUGAGAUGAUACUCCUUACCUCUACACUCCAUAGUUAUCUUUCGCUCAUAGAAUUGACGGACAGUCUUAAAAACAAUAUUAAACUUAUAUGAUUCUACGAUGUGAAAAGAAAUUAGUUUAAGAAAAAUUAUAUAUAUAUAAUGUUCUAUUAUUAUCAGAAAAAUUAGGUACAAAAGUGUUCGCAUUUUCAGGUAGAUUAAAAAUAUAAUUUGAAGUAACAGUUUGUUCAUCAUAUAAGUCAUUAAGAUAGAGAGAGAAAGAGAGAGAGCAGGCUUUGCACUUGUGCAAUUAAAUUUGUAAAGAUAUCCGUCGUUGCUAUGAUAAAUAAGGUAAAACUCAUUAUCUUGAUUCUGGCUUU